UACAGAGGGUGCGAGCGUUAAUCGGAAUUACUGGGCGUAAAGCGUGCGCAGGCGGUUUGUUAAGUCUGCUGUGAAAUCCCCGAGCUCAACCUGGGAAUUGCAGUGGAUACUGGCAAGCUGGAGUACGGUAGAGGAAGGUGGAAUUCCCGGUGUAGCAGUGAAAUGCGUAGAGAUCGGGAGGAACACCAGUGGCGAAGGCGGCCUUCUGGACCAGUACUGACGCUCAUGCACGAAAGCGUGGGGAGCAAACAGG
rnacentral:rRNA from 1 species